UACGGAGGGGGCUAGCGUUGUUCGGAAUUACUGGGCGUAAAGGGCGCGUAGGCGGCCUGUUAAGUCGAACGUGAAAUCCCCGGGCUCAACCCGGGAACUGCGUCCGAUACUGGCUGGCUUGAAUCCGGGAGAGGGAUGCGGAAUUCCAGGUGUAGCGGUGAAAUGCGCAGAUAUCAGGAGGAACACCGGUGGCGAAGGCGGUUCUCUGGGCAUUACCUGACGCUGAGGAGCGAAAGUGUGGGGAGCGAACAGG
rnacentral:rRNA from 1 species